UACAGAGGGUGCAAGCGUUAAUCGGAAUUACUGGGCGUAAAGCGUGCGUAGACGGUUACAUAAGUCGGGUGUGAAAGCCCCGGGCUCAACCUGGGAAUUGCAUUCGAGACUGCGUAGCUAGGGUGCGGAAGAGGGAAGCGGAAUUUCCGGGUGUAGCGGUGAAAUGCGUAGAUAUCGGAAGGAACACCAGUGGCGAAAGCGGCUCCUGGUCCAGCACCGACGUCAGGCACGAAAGCGUGGGGAGCAAACAGG
rnacentral:rRNA from 1 species